rnacentral:lncRNA from 1 species
ACUAUCACGAGAACAACACGGGAAAACUGUCCCCAUAAUCAAGUCAUUUCUCUCCCUAACAAGUGAGGAUUACAAUUCAAGAUGAGGUUUGGGUAGGAACACAAAGCCUGACCCUAUCCCACAGCAUGUCCAGGCUGCCCUAGCACCACCCAAUAGAAGGGAAAAUGGCAGAGGGAAAGUCCUAGUGGAAAGAGACCUCAGUCUCAGCUAAUUGUGGUGACAAUAUAUUGCUUUUGCAAAUUGUACAUAAACAUAUGACCAGGUGAAUGUAUCGCCAAGGCUCCUGCCAAGGCCUGGGAUGGAGGCCUAGAGAAGAUGCCCGAAAGUUUAUGCUGUGUGAGCUUCACAGAAGACCUGCCUUCCAUGUAUACCCAUUUUACAGGUGUCUGUGCGGUGCAGAAACUGUACAACUGUAUACAGUGACCAUUUCUACUCUGGGUCUCUAAACAAGGGCUGGUAUCGUUACAGAGACUGAAGACUGAGGAAGACCAUCUCUGUAGGAUGCCAAGGAUUGACUGGAGAAAGUCUGGGUUGGAGAAGAAUGAAGUGCACAUCAACCAAACAGAAGAGAAGCAAUUUGGAGGAGGAAAAAAUCAGUUCUUCAUGAAAGGAUCACAUUGAUCUUGGUUCAUCCCAGUGCCUCCUCUGCAGAC